rnacentral:rRNA from 1 species
AACGCGAAGAACCUUACCCAGGUUUGACAUGCAGAUGAAUGCGCUAGAAAUAGCGAGGUCCUUCGGGACAUCUGCACAGGUGCUGCAUGGCUGUCGUCAGCUCGUGCCGUGAGGUGUUUGGUUAAGUCCAGCAACGAGCGCAACCCUUAUCAUUAGUUGCCAACAUUUAAGGUGGGAACUCUAGUGAGACUGCCUGGGUUAACCAGGAGGAAGGUGAGGAUGACGUCAAGUCCGCAUGGCCCUUAUGUCUGGGGCUACACACGUGCUACAAUGGUCGGUACAGAAGGCAGCGAAACCGCAAGGCGAAGCAAAUCCCCAAAACCGAUCCCAGUUCAGAUUGUAGUCUGCAACUCGACUACAUGAAGACGGAAUUGCUAGUAAUGGCGAGUCAGCAACAUCGCCGUGAAUACGUUCCCGGGCCUUGUACACACCGGAGUA